UUAAGCGACUAAGCGUACACGGUGGAUGCCCUGGCAGUCAGAGGCGAUGAAGGACGUGCUAAUCUGCGAUAAGCGUCGGUAAGGUGAUAUGAACCGUUAUAACCGGCGAUUUCCGAAUGGGGAAACCCAGUGUGUUUCGACACACUAUCAUUAACUGAAUCCAUAGGUUAAUGAGGCGAACCGGGGGAACUGAAACAUCUAAGUACCCCGAGGAAAAGAAAUCAACCGAGAUUCCCCCAGUAGCGGCGAGCGAACGGGGAGCAGCCCAGAGCCUGAAUCAGUGUGUGUGUUAGUGGAAGCGUCUGGAAAGGCGCGCGAUACAGGGUGACAGCCCCGUACACAAAAAUGCACAUGCUGUGAGCUCGAUGAGUAGGGCGGGACACGUGGUAUCCUGUCUGAAUAUGGGGGGACCAUCCUCCAAGGCUAAAUACUCCUGACUGACCGAUAGUGAACCAGUACCGUGAGGGAAAGGCGAAAAGAACCCCGGCGAGGGGAGUGAAAAAGAACCUGAAACCGUGUACGUACAAGCAGUGGGAGCACGCUUAGGCGUGUGACUGCGUACCUUUUGUAUAAUGGGUCAGCGACUUAUAUUCUGUAGCAAGGUUAACCGAAUAGGGGAGCCGAAGGGAAACCGAGUCUUAACUGGGCGUUAAGUUGCAGGGUAUAGACCCGAAACCCGGUGAUCUAGCCAUGGGCAGGUUGAAGGUUGGGUAACACUAACUGGAGGACCGAACCGACUAAUGUUGAAAAAUUAGCGGAUGACUUGUGGCUGGGGGUGAAAGGCCAAUCAAACCGGGAGAUAGCUGGUUCUCCCCGAAAGCUAUUUAGGUAGCGCCUCGUGAAUUCAUCUCCGGGGGUAGAGCACUGUUUCGGCAAGGGGGUCAUCCCGACUUACCAACCCGAUGCAAACUGCGAAUACCGGAGAAUGUUAUCACGGGAGACACACGGCGGGUGCUAACGUCCGUCGUGAAGAGGGAAACAACCCAGACCGCCAGCUAAGGUCCCAAAGUCAUGGUUAAGUGGGAAACGAUGUGGGAAGGCCCAGACAGCCAGGAUGUUGGCUUAGAAGCAGCCAUCAUUUAAAGAAAGCGUAAUAGCUCACUGGUCGAGUCGGCCUGCGCGGAAGAUGUAACGGGGCUAAACCAUGCACCGAAGCUGCGGCAGCGACGCUGAUGCGUUGUUGGGUAGGGGAGCGUUCUGUAAGCCUGCGAAGGUGUGCUGUGAGGCAUGCUGGAGGUAUCAGAAGUGCGAAUGCUGACAUAAGUAACGAUAAAGCGGGUGAAAAGCCCGCUCGCCGGAAGACCAAGGGUUCCUGUCCAACGUUAAUCGGGGCAGGGUGAGUCGACCCCUAAGGCGAGGCCGAAAGGCGUAGUCGAUGGGAAACAGGUUAAUAUUCCUGUACUUGGUGUUACUGCGAAGGGGGGACGGAGAAGGCUAUGUUGGCCGGGCGACGGUUGUCCCGGUUUAAGCGUGUAGGCUGGUUUUCCAGGCAAAUCCGGAAAAUCAAGGCUGAGGCGUGAUGACGAGGCACUACGGUGCUGAAGCAACAAAUGCCCUGCUUCCAGGAAAAGCCUCUAAGCAUCAGGUAACAUCAAAUCGUACCCCAAACCGACACAGGUGGUCAGGUAGAGAAUACCAAGGCGCUUGAGAGAACUCGGGUGAAGGAACUAGGCAAAAUGGUGCCGUAACUUCGGGAGAAGGCACGCUGAUAUGUAGGUGAAGUCCCUCGCGGAUGGAGCUGAAAUCAGUCGAAGAUACCAGCUGGCUGCAACUGUUUAUUAAAAACACAGCACUGUGCAAACACGAAAGUGGACGUAUACGGUGUGACGCCUGCCCGGUGCCGGAAGGUUAAUUGAUGGGGUCAGCGCAAGCGAAGCUCUUGAUCGAAGCCCCGGUAAACGGCGGCCGUAACUAUAACGGUCCUAAGGUAGCGAAAUUCCUUGUCGGGUAAGUUCCGACCUGCACGAAUGGCGUAAUGAUGGCCAGGCUGUCUCCACCCGAGACUCAGUGAAAUUGAACUCGCUGUGAAGAUGCAGUGUACCCGCGGCAAGACGGAAAGACCCCGUGAACCUUUACUAUAGCUUGACACUGAACAUUGAGCCUUGAUGUGUAGGAUAGGUGGGAGGCUUUGAAGUGUGGACGCCAGUCUGCAUGGAGCCGACCUUGAAAUACCACCCUUUAAUGUUUGAUGUUCUAACGUUGACCCGUGAUCCGGGUUGCGGACAGUGUCUGGUGGGUAGUUUGACUGGGGCGGUCUCCUCCUAAAGAGUAACGGAGGAGCACGAAGGUUGGCUAAUCCUGGUCGGACAUCAGGAGGUUAGUGCAAUGGCAUAAGCCAGCUUGACUGCGAGCGUGACGGCGCGAGCAGGUGCGAAAGCAGGUCAUAGUGAUCCGGUGGUUCUGAAUGGAAGGGCCAUCGCUCAACGGAUAAAAGGUACUCCGGGGAUAACAGGCUGAUACCGCCCAAGAGUUCAUAUCGACGGCGGUGUUUGGCACCUCGAUGUCGGCUCAUCACAUCCUGGGGCUGAAGUAGGUCCCAAGGGUAUGGCUGUUCGCCAUUUAAAGUGGUACGCGAGCUGGGUUUAGAACGUCGUGAGACAGUUCGGUCCCUAUCUGCCGUGGGCGCUGGAGAACUGAGGGGGGCUGCUCCUAGUACGAGAGGACCGGAGUGGACGCAUCACUGGUGUUCGGGUUGUCAUGCCAAUGGCACUGCCCGGUAGCUAAAUGCGGAAGAGAUAAGUGCUGAAAGCAUCUAAGCACGAAACUUGCCCCGAGAUGAGUUCUCCCUGACCCUUUAAGGGUCCUGAAGGAACGUUGAAGACGACGACGUUGAUAGGCCGGGUGUGUAAGCGCAGCGAUGCGUUGAGCUAACCGGUACUAAUGAACCGUGAGGCUUAACCU
rnacentral:rRNA from 1 species